rnacentral:rRNA from 1 species
AAUAGAUACCCCGGUAGUCCACGCCGUAAACGAUGUCGACUUGGAGGUUGUGCCCUUGAGGCGUGGCUUCCGGAGCUAACGCGUUAAGUCGACCGCCUGGGGAGUACGGCCGCAAGGUUAAAACUCAAAUGAAUUGACGGGGGCCCGCACAAGCGGUGGAGCAUGUGGUUUAAUUCGAUGCAACGCGAAGAACCUUACCUGGUCUUGACAUCCACAGAAUUCUGCAGAGAUGCGGAAGUGCCUUCGGGAACUGUGAGACAGGUGCUGCAUGGCUGUCGUCAGCUCGCGUUGUGAAAUGUUGGGUUAAGUCCCGCAACGAGCGCAACCCUUAUCCUUUGUUGCCAGCGGUUAGGCCGGGAACUCAAAGGAGACUGCCAGUGAUAAACUGGAGGAAGGUGGGGAUGACGUCAAGUCAUCAUGGCCCUUACGACCAGGGCUACACACGUGCUACAAUGGCGCAUACAAAGAGAAGCGACCCCGCGAGAGCAAGCGGACCUCAUAAAGUGCGUCGUAGUCCGGA